rnacentral:rRNA from 1 species
AGCGAACGCUGGCGGCAGGCCUAACACAUGCAAGUCGAACGAACGCUCCGGAGUUAGUGGCGGUCGGGGGUGGAACAUGUGGGAAGGGGCCUUUAGGCUUGGGAAACUUCUGGGAAACUUGGGCUAAUACCGAAUGAGCCCUUCGGGGGCAAGAUUCAUCGUCAUUGGAGCCGCCCGCGUUCUUUAGGCUUGGUGGGGAGGUAACGGCCCAUGACGGCGACGAUCAUUAGCUGGGCUGAGAGGAUGACCCGCCACGCUGGGACUGGGACACGGUCCAGACUCUUACGGGAGGCAGCAGUGGGGAAUCUUGCGCAAUCGGCUAAAGCCUGACGCAGCCAUGCCGCGUGAAUGAUGAAGGUCUUAGGAUUGUAAAAUUCUUUAACCGGGGACGAUAAUGACGGUACCCGGAGAAGAAGCCCCGGCUAACUUCGUG